CGAAUUCGCCCUUUCCGGUUGAUCCUGCCAGAGGCCACUGCUAUCGGGGUUCGAUUAAGCCAUGCGAGUCGAGAGGUGCAAGACCUCGGCGCACUGCUCAGUAACACGUGGACAACCUACCCUCAGGAGGGGGAUAACCCCGGGAAACUGGGGAUAAUACCCCAUAGACCAGGGAUGCUGGAAUGCCUCCUGGUUCAAAGGUCCGCCGCCUGAGGAUGGGUCUGCGGCCGAUUAGGUUGUUGUUGGGGUAACGGCCCAACAAGCCUUUGAUCGGUACGGGUUGUGAGAGCAAGAGCCCGGAGAUGGAUUCUGAGACACGAAUCCAGGCCCUACGGGGCGCAGCAGGCGCGAAAACUUUACAAUGCUGGCAACAGCGAUGAGGGAACCUCGAGUGCCAGGUUACAAAUCUGGCUGUCGAGAUGCCUAAAAAGCAUUUCAUAGCAAGGGCCGGGCAAGACCGGUGCCAGCCGCCGCGGUAACACCGGCGGCUCGAGUGGUAACCGUUAUUAUUGGGUCUAAAGGGUCUGUAGCCGGCCGGAUAAGUCUCUUGAGAAAUCUGGCAGCUUAACUGUCAGGCUUUCAGGAGAUACUGUCUGGCUCGAGGCCGGGAGAGGUGAGAGGUACUUCAGGGGUAGGGGUGAAAUCUUGUAAUCCUUGAAGGACCACCAGUGGCGAAGGCGUCUCACCAGAACGGACCUGACGGCAAGGGACGAAAGCUAGGGGCACGAACCGGAUUAGAUACCCGGGUAGUCCUAGCCGUAAACGAUACUCGCUAGGUGUCGGCCACGGUGCGACCGUUGUCGGUGCCGUAGGGAAGCCGUGAAGCGAGCCACCUGGGAAGUACGGCCGCAAGGCUGAAACUUAAAGGAAUUGGCGGGGGAGCACCACAACGGGUGGAGCUUGCGGUUUAAUUGGAUUCAACGCCGGAAAUCUUACCGGGACCGACAGCAAUAUGAAGGCCAGGCUGA
rnacentral:rRNA from 1 species